rnacentral:ncRNA from 1 species
CUAUGGCUUAUUAUAAGCUAUGGCGGAAGGAG